CCUACGGGUGGCAGCAGUGGGGAAUAUUGCACAAUGGGGGAAACCCUGAUGCAGCGACGCCGCGUGAGUGAAGAAGUAAUUCGUUAUGUAAAGCUCUAUCAGCAGGGAAGAAAAUGACGGUACCUGAGUAAGAAGCCCCGGCUAACUACGUGCCAGCAGCCGCGGUAAUACGUAGGGGGCAAGCGUUAUCCGGAUUUACUGGGUGUAAAGGGAGCGUAGACGGCAGGGCAAGUCUGGAGUGAAAGGCAGGGGCUCAACCCCGGGACUGCUUUGGAAACUGUACGGCUGGAGUGCUGGAGAGGUAAGUGGAAUUCCUAGUGUAGCGGUGAAAUGCGUAGAUAUUAGGAAGAACACCAGUGGCGAAGGCGGCUUGCUGGACUGUAACUGACGUUGAGGCUCGAAAGCGUGGGGAGCAAACAGGAUUAGAUACCCCAGUAGUC
rnacentral:rRNA from 1 species